AGCGAACGCUGGCGGCGUGCCUAACACAUGCAAGUCGAACGUGAAAAGGGAAACCUGAGUAAAGUGGCGUACGGGUGAGUAACGCGUAGGUAAUCUACCCCAGAAUCUGGAAUAACCUGCCGAAAGGCGGGCUAAUACUGGAUAGAGCGAGGGAACUCGUAAGAGAGUUUUUCGGGAAAGGGAGCCCGCAAGGGCCUUCGUUCUGGGAUGAGCCUGCGUCUCAUUAGCUAGUUGGUAAGGUAACGGCUUACCAAGGCGAUGAUGAGUAGCUGGUCUGAGAGGAUGGUCAGCCACACUGGAACUGAAACACGGUCCAGACUCCUACGGGAGGCAGCAGUGGGGAAUCUUGCGCAAUGGACGAAAGUCUGACGCAGCCACGCCGCGUGAGUGAAGAAGGCCUUCGGGUUGUAAAGCUCUGUCGGAUGGGACGAACAUCUUCAUAGUGAAUAGCUAUGAGGACUGACGGUACCAUCAAAGGAAGCACCGGCUAACUCCGUG
rnacentral:rRNA from 1 species